GCAUAGUUGGGAGUAGCAAGAACAAAAACUCCCCUCCUUACCAAGGAGGGGAUGUUCGAGCCAAAGGCUCGGACGGGG
rnacentral:misc_RNA from 1 species